rnacentral:rRNA from 1 species
CCAAUAGCGUAUAUUAAAGUUGCUGCAGUUAAAAAGCUCGUAGUUGAAUUUCGGGACCAACAUGUCGGUCGUGCUUCGGUACGUACUGUCAUAAUUGGUUUCUCCCUUCUGAAGAACCUUGAUGUCAUUAAUUUGGUGUCUUGGGGAAUCAGGACUGUUACUUUGAAAAAAUUAGAGUGUUUAAAGCAGGCUCGCGCUUG